GGAUGCUACACAGAUAAGAGUGGAGUUAUGUAGAAUAGAUAUUAGUUCGUUUUUGUAAGAUAUUGAUAAAAUAGACUAAUAGUCUAUAGAAUAGUCAAUUCAGGAAGACGGAUGGUUAACUUAGUUAUUAAAAGUGGUUAAUUAUAUUAUUACGGUUGGAAUCUAGGAAUAGGGAGUAAAUAUAUAAGAGUUGUAGAAGUUAGUCUGAAUGCUAGACUGUGAUAGUCAUGAGCCAGGGUAAACUUGGUGCUACCUCUUUGCCUCUUUGUCUCUUUAUUUCUUUGUUCUUGAAAAGUAAUAGAUAGUUUUUGAAUACUAAGAGGUGAGUCUGUAGAAUAAAUCAAAGAUUGAUUUAUGAGUUAUUGAUUAUGUAAUUGAAGCACUGAGUGAUUGAAUUAUAUGAGGAAUUAUUAGAAGAUUAUGAUUGUUGUUUAUUGAGAGUUGUGUGUAUUUCGAGAGAUGAAGUCUGUAAUUACACAAAUUAUGUGAAUUCAGAUUGGUUGGAGUGAAGUCUGUUAUUUCUAGUAUUGGAUGGAAAUUAUGUAUUUUGAACGGACUUUUGAGAGUGCAUGGUUGCACACUGUUGUUAUCAGUUGAUGAAGGAGUAUUGUUACUGGAAGAAAGUAUUGUAGUAUUUCUUGAUAUUUUAGUGGUUUGGAAUACGGUUAAUUAUGUGACCCUAACAAGUAAAACUCAUAUACUUAGUCUUUUCAUGUGUUCAAAUUCUCCUAUA
rnacentral:lncRNA from 1 species